rnacentral:lncRNA from 1 species
AUAUCCAAUUUAUUGAGAAGGAGACUUCCUAAGAAUAGACACAUCAAUCCUUAUUUUUGGUAGUGUGUAGGUCCAAGUAAAUAAAAAAUUGACCCCAAAAAGAUAAGACUGAAGGGGCUCUUGGUCGAUAUGUAGGUCUCCAAGAAUGGAACCGAAGUAAUGGAAGUUUGUGGAGUAGGGCGGGAAACUUUUUAGGGACUUCUUGAUAGAUGGAUAGAAGAGUGUGUCAAAGCAUGAAUUGACCUAGCGACGUGAACCUUGGGUGAGGUGCACUAGUGAGCGACCUCCUUCCCCAAUAAUGCCGCUAUCAUGCGCGAAGCGAAGCUUGAUAGGAGCCCGAGCUAAGAGAAUAGAGUAAACUCGACAUCACAAAACCAGGAAUAGAUCAUUCAAGGAAACAACUCGAGAUAAAUGUAAGAUUCUUUCUCCUUUUCUGCGGAAGCAUGGUCAAGCUCGUAAGAAAAAAACUAAAGAAGGUUGGUUGAAGGCCUACUACCUACUUUUCUUAGAAUUCAAAAUCUCUCUUCGUGGGCGCUUAGGUUAGCUGUACUAUCGUGUAGCACUUAACGCUUGGUGGAAGGGCGCCUUAAAUAGAUUGAUGCUUGUUCGCUUCUUUAAUGAAGGCAAUUCCCUUCAAAACUCUUUAUUUCUGAACCUUGUCAUUAGUUAGCUGCAAGGAUUGUCGUAUGCUCAUCCCUUACUGAAAGUGGGAGAUCAGCGGCAUUGGUA